rnacentral:rRNA from 1 species
GUGCCAGCCGCCGCGGUAAUACGUAGGGUGCUAGCGUUGUUCGGAAUCAUUGGGCGUAAAGCGCGUGUAGGUGGUCAGUAAAGUUGGGUGUGAAAUCCCUCGGCUCAACCGAGGAAGUGCACUCAAAACUAACUGGCUUGAGAGUGGUAGAGGAAGGUGGAAUUCCUAGUGUAGAGGUGAAAUUCGUAGAUAUUAGGAGGAAUACCGGAGGCGAAGGCGGCCUUCUGGACCAUUUCUGACACUGAGACGCGAAAGCGUGGGUAGCAAACAGGAUUAGAUACCCGAGUAGUCC